rnacentral:lncRNA from 1 species
CUGUCAGGCUAGCUGCUGAUCCCGGGGCCCCACUGGAUAGAUGCAAGGCCCCGGGAAGCACAAGGGGCACGCGCCCAGCGGGAAUGUCUGGGAGGGCUUCCGGGAGGAGAGAGGCCAACACCCUGUUAGCAGCCCAGUGGAAGUCUCCCUGAGCGACUUCCUGGUCAGCAGAGCGAGAGGCCCCAGGGCCACAGUCAACAGCAGCCACAGCCAAGGGGCUCCUGGGGCAGGAGGCUUGGAGGCCCUUCCGGUGCUGCUCCCUCUGGGCCUAGAGGGAAGGAGGCAGGCCUGGCGGGGCCGAGGCUUCGGGGUGCUGCGUGCCUGGGGGCCUCUGAAUGAUCCGGCAGGGAAAAGGGUCAUGUUCGGGCCUGGCGGCUGGAGGCAGCCACAGGGAAGGGGAUGGCAGAUCAAGGCUGGCUGGAGGUUGAUGCUGGCUAGCGCGUCCUGUACUCCGGUCCCCGUUCUCCCCCGAGCCCAGCAGGCUGCACUGAGAUGGAGGCUCUCCCCGCCCCCUGGGUCUGCAGGGACUUCUAAGUGGCCCAUGAAGCCAAGGCGUAAAAGGCGUAAAAGUCCUCCUGGGGGUCGGCCUUCCCCUGAAGGCCCUGGGAAAGGCCUGAGGGACCACGGUGGGGGUGGCGCAGAGGGGCAUGGGGGCCGGCCCUCUCACAGCAGUGAGGUGGGUGUGACGGUGGUCCUGGAGAAGGCGGGACCCGGGUGGGCUUGGCUGCUCAGCGGGCGGUGGCCUUCCAAGGUCCCUCACGCUGACCCCUGCAGAACCGCGCCCGGAGAGGCGAGCGUCCCGAGAAGGCCCCAGGGCUUCGUCUUCAGCAGACCUCUGAGCCAGACCACCGGGCACCGUCCACGGGACAGGCCCAGGAAGGGCGCUCCGCCAGGCCCCUGAUGCAAUCCCGCCUGGCUGCUUACUGAACACGCCCUCCCCGUCCAACAGUCCCUGUGACCCUGCACCGGGGGCUACGGCCACCACCCUCACUCACGGACAGCAGAGGCCAGGAGAGGGAAGGGGCCCUGCCCUCCCGGAGGGGAAGCAGGAUCUGAACCUAGCCGGGCCGAACCC